rnacentral:rRNA from 1 species
GACGAACGCUGGCGGCGUGCUUAACACAUGCAAGUCGAACGGAAAGGCCCUGCUCUUGUGGGGUGCUCGAGUGGCGAACGGGUGAGUAACACGUGAGUAACCUGCCCUUGACUUUGGGAUAACUUCAGGAAACUGGGGCUAAUACCGGAUAGGAGCUCCUGCUGCAUGGUGGGGGUUGGAAAGUUUCGGCGGUUGGGGAUGGAUUGGCGGCUUAUGAGCUUGUUGGUUGGGUAGUUGCUUACCCAGGCAUUGACGGGUAGCCGGCCUGGGAGGGGAGCCGGCCCCAUGAGUCCUGAGGGAGGCACCAGUCGGCAACGGGGGACAGCGGGGGGAAAUAUGACCCAGUGGGCGGGAGCCUGAUACGACGGCGCCGCGUGCGGAAUGACGGCCUUCGGGUUGAGAACCGCUUUCGCCUAAGACGAAGCGUGGGUGACGGUAAUGGAUAAAGAAGCACCGGCUAACUACGUG